rnacentral:rRNA from 1 species
AUUGAACGCUGGCGGCAGGCCUAACACAUGCAAGUCGAGCGGGGUUUUCGGACCUAGCGGCGGACGGGUGAGUAAUGCGUAGGAAGCUGCCCGAUAGAGGGGGAUACCAGUUGGAAACGACUGUUAAUACCGCAUAAUGUCUACGGACCAAAGUGUGGGACCUUCGGGCCACAUGCUAUCGGAUGCGCCUACGUGGGAUUAGCUAGUUGGUGAGGUAAUGGCUAACCAAGGCGACGAUCUCUAGCUGGUUUGAGAGGAUGAUCAGCCACACUGGAACGGAGACACGGUGCAGACUCCUACGGGAGGCAGCAGUGGGGAAGAUUGGACAAUGGGCGCAAGCCUGAUCCAGCCAUGCCGCGUGUGUGAAGAAGGCCUUCGGGUUGUAAAGCACUUUCAGCGAGGGGGAAGAGGUAGUAGUUAAUAGCUGCUACUUUUGACGUUACUCGCAGAAGAAGCACCGGCUAACUCUGUGCCAGCCGCCGCGGUAAGAC